GGGGCUGGAACUCUUGCCUAACAAUCACAGGGUGGAGGGGGGUCCAGCUGAGCCUUACCGGGGCUCACCUUAAACCUGAUGUGGAAUUUGGGAAACAUCGAAGUCCAUUACCAAGUGGCGCAUCGCCAGUCUUGCAUCCAGGACACCGGCUGAGUAACCACCACCAAGGUGCACGGUUUUCUCUGCCCCAGGGGUUAAUGGUGAAGACAAGAACACUGGGGAGCUGCACCGAACAUUUGAGGGAUAGCACCUGUCACUGCUGUUCAGGCAGCCUUUAAGUGUUUCCCUUCAUAAUGGUAUUUUCAUUAAAAUGCACCUAUACAAAAGGAGAAAACACCAGCAAUGUUCCAGGUCCGUGUAAACAGCACUGUUUAUUCAGAGUGUGAAUCCCAGAGCUCCUUCCAGGUCUUCCAGGGAUGGGUUUCACACCCCCACUCCCCACCCUGACCUUGAAAGGGCCAAGGACACCAGGCAGCUGAGAACCGGCCCCAGCCCCAGGCACCAAUCCCCUCAGCUGCCCACCCCACAAGGCCGCAGCUCCAGAGGCUGUGACCUUCCUGGGGAGGAGAGGUCUGAGGUCAAGAUGAAAAUAACUGAGCAGAGGCCUCCAGAGCCACACCAGCACCCCGGUCCGGAGGGCAAGGCGGGCGAGAGUUGCCCUGGGUACCCAGGCAGCACGUCUGAGCCCUGCCACCUUCCUGGCAGAACUCAAGUCCCCAUAGCCAGCCUCUGGCAAAGCAGAUGGUGGACAGGUCCAGACCAACCAAUAUCCUCCUCCCUACCAUCCAAGGCCCUUGGCUUCCCCUUGGUGCUGCUACCUGUGGCUUCCUGGAUGAGAGCAGAGUUUCGUCUGAGGAUGAGCAGGAAGGAGGAGGAGCCAUGGCUGCACAGGCCAAGAAGAGCCUGAAGGGAGGCUCCUAGGGAGGACCCUGGGCUCUGGCCCCUGCAUCUACCACUGCCGUGGGCACAGACCCCACAUGUGGAUGGUGCCCAGGACCGCUCUCCGGGCAGAAGGAAGUGGGAGCAGCCAAGUUCUCGGUGUCCCAGUGUGUUUUCCUCGUCAGGCUGGACCUUGGGCAAGACAGGAAUUUGUUUUCAGCUCUGCGUGCAGAAGGAUCUGAGUUAGAUUCAGAUGUAACCAAAUCAGCAAUAAAGACUAUUACAUCUUGCAUGGUUUUGUGUUUAUCGUACACUGGCUGUGUUGUGGGGACCUGGUCUCUCCCAGGAACAAGGGGUCCUAGCCACCCCCACCCCCAAAAAAGCUGGUGAGUCUGGGCUGUGA
rnacentral:lncRNA from 1 species